CGUGUCAAUUUUCUUAUAAGAGGAUGUUGUAUUUGUAGCAAAAAAUGCAAAGACACGACGGCAAACGCAGCAUUCUCUCCCGCUCUUUCCUUCACUGUUCCACACACACUUGUCACCGCACACGCGUCAUAAAUUUUAUUCCACUCUGAAUAACGUAUUGCCUUUUAUCCACUAAAACCAUUGUGCAAUUGGUUUUACCUUCUAGGAAUUGAACAACGUUUUUCGAGAGUUUUUCGUCGUCGUCGUCGCCGGCCACGAAAAAACUUCACGAGCAGCGGAGCGGCGGCAGCAAAGUGAUCGCUUUGGAACCGAAAAAAAAAUUGGUGGAACUGGGUAUCAAAAGCAGCGACGUCGACUGCGGCGAGUGUGCAUGAGGAACGCGCCAAAACAGGCGGAUCCGAAGCGCCAAAAAAUGCAACAAACACAGGGGGCAACUUUGUUGUACUCUAGGGGAGGGACGGAGAUGGGGCGAGCAUCUCCAGCGCAAAGAACAGAGCGUGAGAAAGCGAGACGGGGCGAUGAAGCCGCUGGUGGCAAGCUUGGCAUUUUAUUGAAUGGAGUCUGCAAUUGGAGUCCCCAGUCCCCAACAGGCUAGUCAGACUACAAUUGGAGGUUCGACGUCCAGUCAGCUGGGUGGUCGAAAAACAGCUGACGAGGAUGCCAGAAGGGCGGAUUUAGUCGGAUAU
ensembl:ncRNA lncRNA:CR44974 long non-coding RNA:CR44974